rnacentral:rRNA from 1 species
GACGCCGCGUGAGUGAUGAAGGCCUUAGGGUCGUAAAGCUCUUUCGCCUGUGAUGAUAAUGACAGUAGCAGGUAAAGAAACCCCGGCUAACUCCGUGCCAGCAGCCGCGGUAAUACGGAGGGGGUUAGCGUUGUUCGGAAUUACUGGGCGUAAAGCGCACGUAGGCGGAUUAGUCAGUCAGAGGUGAAAUCCCAGGGCUCAACCCUGGAACUGCCUUUGAUACUGCUAGUCUUGAGUUCGAGAGAGGUAAGUGGAAUUCCGAGUGUAGAGGUGAAAUUCGUAGAUAUUCGGAGGAACACCAGUGGCGAAGGCGGCUUACUGGCUCGAUACUGACGCUGAGGUGCGAAAGUGUGGGGAGCAAACAGGAUUAGAUACCCUGGUAGUCCACACCGUAAACGAUGAAUGCCAGUCGUCGGGUAGCAUGCUAUUCGGUGACACACCUAACGGAUUAAGCAUUCCGCCUGGGGAGUACGGUCGCAAGAUUAAAACUC